rnacentral:lncRNA from 1 species
GGAUCCCAACACACAAGAAAAGGUCACAUACCAGGAGCUGCAGGACCGGUGCCGGAAGGAGGAGAAGUCAGGCUGGGCACUGUUCCCAGUGGUCAAGGACAAAAAAGACAUGGACUAUGUUGAUGAGGCCACCAAAAGGGCCCUGGAGGCAGAGCAGGUGGAAGUGACUGUGGGGAGAUACAGAGGCCAGAAGCCAUCCGUGUGGGAGCUGCUGAACUCAGAAUAUUUUUCUGAGGAGAAGAAGAUUGAAUUAGUUAGAAUAUACAAAGAAGACACAGCCCGGGCACUG